rnacentral:rRNA from 1 species
UUAGUUGCUACGCAAGGCACUCUAAUGAGACUGCCGGUGACAACCGGAGGAAGGUGGGGAUGACGUCAAGUCCUCAUGGCCCUUAUGGGUAGGGCUUCACACGUCAUACAAUGGUCGGUACAGAGGGUUGCCAAGCCGCGAGGUGGAGCCAAUCCCAGAAAGCCGAUCGUAGUCCGGAUUGUUCUCUGCAACUCGAGAGCAUGAAGUCGGAAUCGCUAGUAAUCGCGGAUCAGCAUGUCGCGGUGAAUACGUUCCCGGGUCUU